UGCAUUAGGAAUCUGCCCGGAUAGUGGGGGAUAACCUGGGGAAACUCAUGCUAAUACCGCAUACGUCCUACGGGAGAAAGCAGGGGAUCUUCGGACCUUGCGCUAUCGGAUGAGCCUAUGUCGGAUUAGCUAGUUGGUGAGGUAACGGCUCACCAAGGCCACGAUCCGUAGCUGGUCUGAGAGGAUGAUCAGCCACAUCGGGACUGAGACACGGCCCGAACUCCUACGGGAGGCAGCAGUGGGGAAUAUUGGACAAUGGGCGAAAGCCUGAUCCAGCCAUGCCGCGUGUGUGAAGAAGGCUUUCGGGUUGUAAAGCACUUUCAGUGGGGAAGAAAGCCUCAGGGCCAAUACCCCUGAGGGAGGACAUCACCCACAGAAGAAGCACCGGCUAACUCCGUGCCAGCAGCCGCGGUAAUACGGAGGGUGCGAGCGUUAAUCGGAAUUACUGGGCGUAAAGCGCGCGUAGGCGGCGUGAUCAGCCAGUUGUGAAAGCCCCGGGCUCAACCUGGGAACGGCAUCCCGAACUGUCACGCUAGAGUGCGGGAGAGGAAGGUAGAAUUCCCGGUGUAGCGGUGAAAUGCGUAGAGAUCGGGAGGAAUACCAGUGGCGAAGGCGGCCUUCUGGACUGACACUGACGCUGAGGUGCGAAAGCAUGGGGUAGCAAACAGGAUUAGAUACCCUGGGUAGUCCAUGCCGUAAACGAUGUCGACUAGCCGUUGGG
rnacentral:rRNA from 1 species